GUUUGCCUCUCUCCUGUGCCUCCACGUCGGAUCCAGCCUGGAAAGUCGAUCAUCUACAGCUUGACACGUCAGAUCCGUUUUGUUACCGAUUCAGCGAAGUGGAUUUUCGAUUGUUCAUGUUUAGUAUGGGCUUUCUGUUUUGGCCCAACAAACAUAAACUGUCUCUGACCUAAUGUUCUUCGGACAAGAGAACGAGAGAGGCGUCCCACAUCCUUCGACGGCGAGAUUCUGACGUUUCCGCUUUCCCUCGCCAAAUGUAACGCUCUGAGUUAAAAUUUCGUGAUUAAUCCACUCAAAUCGCUCCCCCGCAAUGUGUAUUCAAAGCAAUCUUCAAGCUCAGAGGCGGUGUGAUCUAUGUAUAAAUAGGGGGUUUUUUUCUCCGAUCUGAAGUCCGGCAAGUGUACCUCCGUCGUCGAGGCUAGGCUCCUGCAGUUCUGGGAGGCCAGGCACGUUAAACGCGGUGGGGAGCUCAUGUGGGUCGAAAUGCUUCCGGUGGAUAUUAACAAUCUUGAGCCGUUGAAUGACAUCUACUACCUAAGCACAUGUUUGUCUCGACCUUUCUAUUGGUUAUAACACAAUUUCUUUUGUGCAAGGUUGCUAAUUGCCGUCCUAAUAUUCUUUGCUUAUGGCCAUCAGAUCGUGGAUAUGAUAAACGGUUUGGUCAAACUCCAGGGAGGUUGUCUGUAAAGAAACAAAUGAAGCUAAAUUGUUGAGAGCAGAAAUUAGUUGUGGCUGUAACCAGCAUUGAUGAAUGUGUGUUGUUAACUCUUACGAUUGAAAACAUGUAGCCCUUUUUUAAAUAAGAAUGGAUGUGUAUGGUUCUA